AGCGAACGCUGGCGGCAGGCUUAACACAUGCAAGUCGAGCGGGCGUAGCAAUACGUCAGCGGCAGACGGGUGAGUAACGCGUGGGAACGUACCUUUUGGUUCGGAACAACACAGGGAAACUUGUGCUAAUACCGGAUAAGCCCUUACGGGGAAAGAUUUAUCGCCGAAAGAUCGGCCCGCGUCUGAUUAGCUAGUUGGUGAGGUAAUGGCUCACCAAGGCGACGAUCAGUAGCUGGUCUGAGAGGAUGAUCAGCCACAUUGGGACUGAGACACGGCCCAAACUCCUACGGGAGGCAGCAGUGGGGAAUAUUGGACAAUGGGCGCAAGCCUGAUCCAGCCAUGCCGCGUGAGUGAUGAAGGCCCUAGGGUUGUAAAGCUCUUUUGUGCGGGAAGAUAAUGACGGUACCGCAAGAAUAAGCCCCGGCUAACUUCGUGCCAGCAGCCGCGGUAAUACGAAGGGGGCUAGCGUUGCUCGGAAUCACUGGGCGUAAAGGGUGCGUAGGCGGGUCUUUAAGUCAGGGGUGAAAUCCUGGAGCUCAACUCCAGAACUGCCUUCGAUACUGGCGAUCUUGAGUCCGG
rnacentral:rRNA from 1 species